UCAUGAGGAUUGCCCACCUGAAUUAGCAAAUGACAACAUCUAGGUGAACCUGACUGAUUUCAGAAAGCUAAACAAGGUUGGGUCUGGUUAGUACUUGGAUGGGANACCACCAAGAAAUCCAAGCUCUGCAGGCA
rnacentral:rRNA from 1 species